rnacentral:rRNA from 1 species
AGCCUACCAUAGCCCAAUUACUACAUCCAAUAUUACUUUUUUUCCCAAAAACAAACCAUUUGCUAAGAACAGUAUAGGCGAUAGAACCCCAAUUCUUGGAGCUAUAGUUAUCAGUACCGCAAGGGAAAUAUGAAAUACCAAUGAAAUACACAAGCACAACAAAGCAGAGACUAACACUCGUACCUCUUGCAUCACAGUUCAGCAAGAAUAAACAGACAAGAAGACCCAAAGCCUGGUCCCCCGAAUCCAAGUGAGCUACCCUAAGAUAACUACAGAGUAAACCCGUCCCUGUAGCAAAAGGGUGGGAAAAUCUUAAGGUAGAGGUGAAAAGCCUACCGAACUUGUUGAUAGCUGGUUGCCUGAUAAAAGAAUUUUAGUUCGACUUUAGACUCAAAUCAUAUUUAAUAAUGAAAACUUAGUCUAAAAGAUAUUCAAUGAAGGUACAGCUUCAUUGAACCAGGAUACAACCCGAUAUAGCGAGAAAAAACAACCACCGCAUCAGUAGGCCUUAAAGCAGUCAACAAAAAACAGAGCGUCAUAGCCAAACAAACCAAAAAUUCCAAAAACCACAAACAUCUCCUAAUCUCUUAACAGGCUAUUCUAUAACCCUAUAGAAGAACUAAUGCUGAAACUAGUAACAAGAGACACCUCUCUUAAGCAUACCUGUAACUCAGACUGGAACAACCACUGAAAAUUAACAGACUUUAUGCAACUUAAUACCCACAACAUUACACCAACUGUUAACCCGACACAGGAGUGCCAAAAAGAAAGAUUAAAAGUUAAAGAAGGAACUCAGCAAACACAAGUCCCAACUGUUUACCAAAAACAUAGCCUUUAGCAAGUCAAGUAUUAAAGGUAACGCCUGCCCAGUGAAUAUUUCAACGGCCGCGGUAUCCUAACCGUGCAAAGGUAGCGUAAUCACUUGUCCCCUAAAUAGGGACCAGUAUGAACGGCUAAAUGAGGACUAAUCUGUCUCCUUUGACUAACCAGUGAAACUGAUCUUUCGGUUAAAAAGCCGAAAUAAACGCAUAAGACGAGAAGACCCUGUGGAGCUUUAAAUUAUAACCAAAAUGCCAACACAACACGCCACAUAAUGGCCAAAAAUUUUAAGUUGGGGCGACUUCGGAAAAAAACAAAACUUCCGAGCAUAAAGAGCACCUCUCUAAUCGAGACUGACAAGUCAAAACAACCAUUGACCCAGUACUACUGAUUAACGAACCAAGUUACCCCAGGGAUAACAGCGCCAUCUUCUUCGAGAGUCCAUAUCGACAAGAAGGUUUACGACCUCGAUGUUGGAUCAGGACACCCAAAUGGUGCAGCAGCUAUUAAAGGUUCGUUUGUUCAACGAUUAAUAGUCCUACGUGAUCUGAGUUCAGACCGGAGUAAUCCAGGUCGGUUUCUAUCUAUGACAGAGGCUUUCUUUAGUACGAAAGGACCAAGAAAGCAGGACCAAUGUUAAAAACACGUCCUCACAAUAAAACUGAAAUCAACUAAAAUUACCCUCACCAACUAGGCCGAAGACGACGGCCAA